rnacentral:rRNA from 1 species
CAGCAGCCGCGGUAAUACAGAGGUCCCGAGCGUUGUUCGGAUUCACUGGGCGUAAAGGGUGUGUAGGAGGUUGGAUAAGUCAGGUGUGAAAUCCCACAGCUUAACUGUGGAACUGCAUUCGAUACUGUCUGACUAGAGGAUCGGAGGGGGAAGCGGAAUUCUUGGUGUAGCGGUGAAAUGCGUAGAUAUCAAGAGGAACACCGGUGGCGAAGGCGGCUUCCUGGACGAUUCCUGACUCUGAAACACGAAAGCCAGGGGAGCGAAUGGGAUUAGAUACCCCCGUAGUCCCUGUCUCUUAUAC